AAAGACUUAGUCCCAACCUUACCGUUAAUUAUUGCCAGAUACAUACAUGCAAGUAUCCGCACUCCAGUGUAAAUGCCCCUGCCUUGCAAAUCAAGUCGGGGAGCGGGCAUCAGGCACACCUAGCCAUCGUGGGUAGCCCAAGACGCCUUGCACCAGCCACACCCACACGGGUACUCAGCAGUAGUUGACAUUAAGCAAUAGGCGCAAGCUUGACUUAGUCAUGGCAACAUCCAGCCAAGGGUUGGUAAAUCUUGUGCCAGCCACCGCGGUCAUACAAGAGACCCAAGUUAACAGUAGACGGCGUAAAGGGUGGCACUUGCAGUAUCCCCCAAACUAGGGUGAAAACACAACCAAGCCGUCAUAAGCUUAGGGUGUACCUAAAGCCACCACUAAAGUGACCCUAGCACGCACUACGAUGGACAAACUCCACGAAAGCCAGGGCCCAAACUGGGAUUAGAUACCCCACUAUGCCUAGCCAUAAAUCCCGAUGUCCACUAUCACCCACCAGGACAUCCGCCAGAGCACUACGAGCACAAACGCUUGAAACUCUAAGGACUUGGCGGUGCCCCAAAUCCACCUAGAGGAGCCUGUCCUGUAAUCGACAACCCACGAUACACCCGACCACCCCUAGCACGAACAGCCUAUAUACCGCCGUCGCCAGCUCACCUCCUGAGAGUUCAACAGUGAGCGCAAGAGUUGAACCCACUAAUAAGACAGGUCGAGGUAUAGCUCAUGGGGCGGAAGAGAUGGGCUACAUUCUCUAAAAUAGAGAAUCUAACGGACGGGGGCGUGAAAUCACCCCCUAAAGGCGGAUUUAGCAGUAAAGAGUAGCCUCAUAAAACUACCUUUAACAAGGCCCUGGGGCACGUACAUACCGCCCGUCACCCUCCUCGCAAGCUACCGUCACCCUAUAACUAAUGCGCUAACAAGCUAAAGAUGAGGU
rnacentral:ncRNA from 1 species